AUCUCUUUGCCUUUUGGCUUAGAUCAAGUGUAGUAUCUGUUCUUUUCAGUGUAACAACUGAAAUGACCUCAAAGAGGCUCAUUACCUUUAUUUUUGUUACAACGUUUAUUUUUUGGCAAUGAAAUUAUCUCUCCAUGUCCAGUCACUGGAGAUGGAGAAGGUGGGUG
rnacentral:snRNA from 1 species